ACGCGGAAUAGUGUGCAAUAAAGACAACAAAAACAAUUGGAAUGGCUGACAAGCAAAAUGCAAAGCGGAAUGAGAGAAGAAAAAGAAACUUAAUUUGAAGGUUAUGAUUAACACAAAUUAUGUUCAACGCUGUUACAUGGGAAUCAGAAUCACUUUCCUGAUUGUUGUGCUUGCUCCUACAAAGACGGCAAUGACAGAAACGGGACAUCUGGAUGCAUGGCACGAAAGCAGUAACAGAAUAGAUCACCACAGCAAAUUAGUUUUAAAUCAAUUUAACAAAACAACCGACACUUAGAUCCCGGGUUUCGGGAUUUUUGGUCUGGUAAAGAAGUCGAAUACGAUGCGGUUAA
rnacentral:sRNA from 1 species